GCUAGGCAUGGUGGCACAUGCCUGUAAUCCCAGCUACUAGGGAGGCUGAGGCAGGAGGAUCACUUGAGCCCAGGAGGUCUAGGCUGCAGUGAGCUAUGAUUGCACCAUUGCAGUCCAGCCUGGGCAACAGAGUGAGACCCUGUCUCAA
rnacentral:SRP_RNA from 1 species